UGCCGCGUGAGUGAGGAAGGCCUUAGGGUUGUAAAGCUCUUUCGGCGGGGAACGAUGAUGACGGUACCCGCAGAAGAAGCCCCGGCUAACUUCGUGC
rnacentral:rRNA from 1 species